ACAAAACCAACCCCCACCCCUUUAGACGUAACACACACACACUUCACAACAAAUACACCCACGUAGAGAUCAACGAGGGAGGAGAAGAGAAAAGCGUCGCCAGCUUAUUGUCGCCGCGCCCAGCCCGUUCCGCCGCCGCUGAACUGUCGAGCCCAGAGGAGAGAGUCACUGCUGUGCUGUCGAGAAGAGAGAGCUCGCACAGAGAGGGAGAACUCGCGAAGGAGGGGUUGCUGCCAGAGUCACCGCCGUUCAUGCCUUGCCAUCGCCGUUCUGCCUUCCAUCAAGCUCAAACUGUGACUGUUCGUUGAGCUUGCCACCGUCGCCGUUCAAGUCGAUGAUGCCGCCGUCACACGCUAUGCCCCGAAGUUUCCCUCACCGCCGUCGACGCUGAUCUGAGCAGAUGAGAAGAGGAAGAACGACGGGAAAGGAAGGGAGUCAUCCGUGUCACCACCAUCAAGCCACACUCACCACCAAUGAAGCUUCUGUUGUCGUCGUUGCAGAAAGGGGGAUGGCUGCUGCUGUCAUGGCCCUCUUCCAUGCCGCUGCAACUUCAUUCAAUUCUCAACUGUUGGAACUCGGCGCUGGUAUCAAUCGAGACCUCUGCUACUAAUGGUUCACUGAGAUACAAAACAACGAUGGAGAAAGGGACAGAACUCACUAGAGGAGGCUGCUGGAGCUGUUGGUCCGAGCUGCCUUGCCUCUUCCCUGCUCUAGUGCCACUGCUACUACUGAAAAGUGAUCGGAAAUGUUGUUGUUGUUGCCACGGAUUAAGAAAAAGGGGUUCGUCGCAAUUAAUUCUUGCUAGUUCGACACUCUAAGACAUUUUUCGCCCUUUUGUUGGAUAUAGAGAAAUGAGGCUUGUGAGCAAAGAAUCCAAACAUCAUUGUGGAGAUCCUCUUAUUCUUUGUUUUAUGGAUUUUGCAAAUCCAGCUUAUGCAACAACUGCAAUGAGUUCCUUGCAAGGUAGCAUUUACUAUUUAUCAAUGAAUAAUUAUACAAAAGAAAGUUUUAUAUUCGUUCAUGUAAAUCAUCUAACUGAAUCAUUUAAGUAUGCGAUAACUUAGAUGAAGGUCGUCAAAUUAGAGGAUACAUUAACUUGUUUGGUAGAUACAAUAAACUGAAUUUAUUUAUUGAAUUUUUUGGUUGAAUUUCGCUUGUGUAAUAGAUGUGCUCAAAGAAAAAUUUGAAGAGCAACG